UGUUAUUGAAGCAACUCCGUGAUGGUGCUGGAAAUAGAAUAUUGUGGGCAUCAGGUUAUUUAUUUCCUCGUUUCCGUUUGUAUGUGAGCAAGUGCUGAUCUAAAAAAUGGUUGAUGAGUAAACCAAGAUAAUUUUGGAAGAUUAGGGUGUUUGCAGUUAAUUGGACUUGUUGCAGGGCAAUCUCUGCACAGAGGAAGAAAGUUUAGUUUUUUUUGUGGAUGCAGAGAUUUUCCUUAAAAAAUCAAAUAUCAUCACUGCUUUUUUCUGUAAUUUUUUCCUGCUGCACCAUAUUCAAUGCCUCAGUAACUGACAGUCACACAGAAAUUCAUCCAGAAGCGCAUGUUGAAAAUGAACCUACAUUAUGUCAUUAAGUUUUAUUUUUAUAAAUGGAUCUUAAUUCAUAAAUAUUGAAUUUAGUUAAUAAAUUUAAAAAAAAUAACUGGAUUAUUUAUUUAAUUUUAAGUUUAUUUAUGUAAUUAAAUUGACAACAUGCCCUCCAAAAGCCAUGGGCUUUAAAAGGUCAUUGCAUGUGUGUGUACCCAACCCUCGUCGGUACCGAGAGCAGCCAAACAACUACCUGGGGUAGGAACCCCAGCGGGUAGGCAUCAUCACAAGGCCUACAUAGCAGCAGCAUCUGGAUCAUGGCAAAACAGUUGUACAUAUUUAAGAUAAAUUCUAAUUGCAUCAAUAAUACCAAUUACAGAGUUGACGUAGCUUGGAUAACAUAAGAAAAUAUUUUAUUAUACCUUUUAUCGAUAACUAACAUUUAUUGCCAAGUUGAAAACUAAAUUUUUACUCACUUUUAUUAGCUUCACUUGUAGCUACGCAUUGGCAUGUAUUCAAUAGACGCUAGGUAAGCAGUGCUUACCCUGUUAUGUUGCUUGGCAUAAUGUAAUAUUUUUGGUAUGUGGUAAUCUCAUCUCGUGUGCUAAUGUAACAAUAUCAGUGCGCGUUAUGGAUUGAAUUGAAACAUCCUGCGUCCCUGCGAAGCGAUGCGAUCACCGUAGCGGGCGCGUCAGAUAGCGUGCCACCCAGUUUUCAUGGUAACGUGUAAACUGGAGGGGAAGGGUUCAUGUAUCUUCGUGAGACUACUUUGGUAAAUAUCGCGCAAGGUGCGCUGUUCUCACAGCAACUGGCCCUAGCGCGCGUCGGCAGGCAGUUGCAUUGUGUCGUUCAACAAACAAUCAAACAUAAUACAAAUAUUAUUCCUACAACGUACAAUGCAAGUUGUCAUUCCACAACACGUAUUUAAAAUAAACACACUGUCCGUUUUAUGACCAUUUUAUUCUGUUUUGUGUUUUCGUUUGAAGUGCUAACCAGUGUAAACUUCAUCUGCGACUGCUGUCUAUGUACCAACAAGGUAAGCUGUGAGUUCGGCAGCGUAUGCUGUCCAGGAUGAAGCAGGACUCUCAACCUGGCCACUGCGUUGUUUGCAAUGUUCUGAGUUCUGAUUUUAAUUCGUUUUCGAAACUGUUUAACUUUUGUCUUUACUAUAUAGAUUUAAAAUGGUGUAAAAAAUGAUCUCGACUGAUGUAAAAAAUCUCGUCAAGUUAAUUUUUGUGUACGCUUUAGUAAAAAUUUGAAAAAAUAGAAAAUGUUUCCUUAACGUUGUCUUUAUUUUCUAAUUUUAAAGUCGUUUAUAUAAAGUUUUUCCUCGACAUAUGUGAAAAAAACUCGUUAGGUUUACCCCGCAUAUACAUUCCAGCGUUUCUCAAUUUCCAUCUCAUUCCCCUAAUCGGCUUUUAGGACUUGAAACUGAAGCGCCGGAGCUCUGCCUAAGGAUAAGGCGGGCCUGCGUAUUAUAUUUUUGUGACCGUAUUUGUAUGUUUUGUUACAUAAUAUACAACCCUAUAUUCAUAUUUCAGUAUAACUUUAAUAGUUUCUGUCUCAGAAAAGUUAAUAAUUUUGCUCCUGGUUGUAGCAGCUGGAGUUAUUUGACAGGUACAAAAAUUUAUACUUAGAAUAAAGUGCAUCUUAUACUUCUACCAGGAAAACUGCAAAAAUAGCCCCAUUUUGCACCUAGAAAUUCAAAUUAUUUUAAGGUUGAGAAUGGGUGAGACAGCUUACCCACACAAUUAUUCCACCACAUGCCUUUGUAACUACGUAAUAAAAUCUUGCAAGUCAAUAUAACCUAAUUCUAAUUCUCAUGUUGAACUAAAAUUUUGAAUUUAUACUCAGAUGAUAAUACAGUAAUUUUAUAACUGACCAGAAAAAAGGAAAGGACAAAGGGGGCAUAAGAGCAAAUAAACCCUACUUUUUUGCUAUAGGCAAUAACCAUUUUUUUUGUAUAUUCAUGAGUCCUGCUAUGGUGGGAAAUAUGCCAAAAGUCGACUGGCCCCACAACUGUGGGGAGAGGGGUUCAAAACCACAAAAUUUUGAAAAAUUUAAAAAAAAUUAUUCUUUUUUAAUUUGGAGUGUU